GACGAACGCUGGCGGCAAGCUUAACACAUGCAAGUCGAACGCCGUAGCAAUACGGAGUGGCAGACGGGUGAGUAACACGUGGGAACGUGCCUUUCGGUUCGGAACAACUGAGGGAAACUUCAGCUAAGACCGGAUACGCCCUUCGGGGGAAAGUUUACGCCGAAAGAUCGGCCCGCGUCAGAUUAGGUAGUUGGCGGGGUAAUGGCCCACCAAGCCGAUGAUCUGUAGCUGUUCUGAGAGGAAGAUCAGCCACACUGGGACUGAGACACGGCCCAGACUACUACGGGAGGCAGCAGUGGGGAAUAUUGGACAAUGGGCGCAAGCCUGAUCCAGCUAUGCCGCGUGGAUGAAGAAGGCCUUCGGGUUGUAAAGUCCUUUCGGCGGGGAAGAUAAUGACGGUACCCGCAGAAGAAGCCCCGGCUAAUUUCGUGCCAGCCGCCGCAGUAAGAC
rnacentral:rRNA from 1 species